GUUGGACUGGCCUGGUUGCGUGGAAGAAGAGCAGACCGUCACCAGUAGGCAGCAGUUCUGUGAUGCACUGCGGUCAAUCCCUGACGUGCAGCAGAGGAGGAGGUGUAUGCUGACCCGGGAGGAUCCCAACAGCAGGCAAGAAGGGAAGAGGAGGAUGCGCAGCAAGCAGCAGAGCCCAGCCCAGCCCAGGAUCCAGCGCAGCCCACACCAGCCAGCCCAUCCCACCAGAGGAUCCAAUGCCGUUACCAGGCAGCCUAACAGAGAAGCAUUUUGAAUUUAUUUCUUUCCUUCUGUCUCUUCUCUGUCUUCUGUGCACUUCCCUAAUCUAACAGCACUAACCAUCCCCUACCCCUUAACAUCGAUUUUGUUGUAAUUUCCUUGAAUUUGUGUGCUUUGUUUCAUUGUUUUGAAUUUUUACUAAUCUCGUCUCAGUUGUAUAUUUUCAGGCACUCGGACGUGGUACAACGCGGGAGCACCCAGCCAGCCUCCAGCCACCCAGCCAGCCACAGAUGAAGAGGAAGGAGCCCAUUGCCCAGCUUUGUCUAGCGGCUUACAUUUGCCAAGGCGGAGCGUCGAUCCCACCGAGACAUUCAGCAGCAUUCUGGGUAGCAAGGAUCGACUGCGACCGCACAUGGAAGAGAGGAUAUGCGGUGUGAUGCAGCCCUCUGUUCCCAGUCCUUUGAAGAGGAGUCUGCCAACCCAGGGACGGUCAGGGUUAGGCUGUUGUGGAUUCCCAGAUGAUUAGUAGACUGCGGCCUGCCAGAGGAAGUGCGCAGAGUUCAGGGACGUACUGCGGCCAUCUCCGGCGUUGAAGGUACGGGGUUGGACUGGCCUGGUUGCGUGGAAGAAGAGCAGACCGUCACCAGUAGGCAGCAGUUCUGUGAUGCACUGCGGUCAAUCCCUGACGUGCAGCAGAGGAGGAGGUGUAUGCUGACCCGGGAGGAUCCCAACAGCAGGCAAGAAGGGAAGAGGAGGAUGCGCAGCAAGCAGCAGAGCCCAGCCCAGCCCAGGAUCCAGCGCAGCCCACACCAGCCAGCCCAUCCCACCAGAGGAUCCAAUGCCGUUACCAGGCAGCCUAACAGAGAAGCAUUUUGAAUUUAUUUCUUUCCUUCUGUCUCUUCUCUGUCUUCUGUGCACUUCCCUAAUCUAACAGCACUAACCAUCCCCUACCCCUUAACAUCGAUUUUGUUGUAAUUUCCUUGAAUUUGUGUGCUUUGUUUCAUUGUUUUGAAUUUUUACUAAUCUCGUCUCAGUUGUAUAUUUUCAGGCACUCGGACGUGGUACAACGCGGGAGCACCCAGCCAGCCUCCAGCCACCCAGCCAGCCACAGAUGAAGAGGAAGGAGCCCAUUGCCCAGCUUUGUCUAGCGGCUUACAUUUGCCAAGGCGGAGCGUCGAUCCCACCGAGACAUUCAGCAGCAUUCUGGGUAGCAAGGAUCGACUGCGACCGCACAUGGAAGAGAGGAUAUGCGGUGUGAUGCAGCCCUCUGUUCCCAGUCCUUUGAAGAGGAGUCUGCCAACCCAGGGACGGUCAGGGUUAGGCUGUUGUGGAUUCCCAGAUGAUUAGUAGACUGCGGCCUGCCAGAGGAAGUGCGCAGAGUUCAGGGACGUACUGCGGCCAUCUCCGGCGUUGAAGGUACGGGGUUGGACUGGCCUGGUUGCGUGGAAGAAGAGCAGACCGUCACCAGUAGGCAGCAGUUCUGUGAUGCACUGCGGUCAAUCCCUGACGUGCAGCAGAGGAGGAGGUGUAUGCUGACCCGGGAGGAUCCCAACAGCAGGCAAGAAGGGAAGAGGAGGAUGCGCAGCAAGCAGCAGAGCCCAGCCCAGCCCAGGAUCCAGCGCAGC